CGUGGCUUCUAUUUUUGAAGUGGAAUUUAUUAUUUUAAGAAAAUGUCCUGUAAAUUUCGGUUGCAUGUGUGGAAUUGUUUUGGAACAACCGCACGCGUGCCCGUGUUUGCUUGUUUGUUGUUGUCCGUCAAUUACCGUGUGCGCGCCUCAAACGAACAUGGAACUCCUCCUCUUUCGAUUGUCGAGUUGCGAUAACAAUGGUGAUGUGUUAUCUUUCUUACCGGUACCUACCACCUGUUGUUGUCAAACAGUCUUACAUGCGUUCACGAUAGUGUAGCGUCAUCGUUUCAGGUUUCCUUUUGUUUUCAGUUUCCUUAACUGCAAUUACGAUACUAUAUUUAUAGAUAUCCGGUAGGAAAAUGCUACAAAUUGAGCUUCGAAUAAUUCCGCUGAUUACCCAAUUCUUUGUCGUCUGCAAUUAGCUCUCCUAUUCUUUUUUUCCUGCUUGUCAUAUCACCACGUGAGCAUCUCGUUACGUAAAUAGCCAUGAUUGAUGGGGAUAGAAAGAACAGCUGGGGUUUUAUUUUUAUUGAAGUUUUCUGCAUUACUCGGCUUUCCUUAUUCUUCUUGUAAUAGCGACGAGCGGAAAGACAAUUUCUAGAUGGAUAACAUUCUUCCGUGUCACAGUAUAAUAAAGUCCCCGGUUGAAUUGCAUUUGCAAUUAGUUUGCCAACUCAUGACUGUCUUUUUCCCCCUUCCAAUUCUUAUUUUAGUUAAAAGCAUGUAAUAUAAGGACAACCACGUCGUGUAACGGCUACGUUACUCUAUUACAGUAGUGCACGACUGACAGAAAGGGGAGCCAUUAACGACAGCUGCGGUUAUUUUAAUUAUUGAUACGAUGUCUUCCUUCCUGUAAGCCGGAACAAAAAAAAAAAAAAGAUUGUUGAAGCAACGGUAUUUGUCUUUGUCUUUGCGGGUCAUUUACCCGACCAGGACAUGUAUUGCACUAGUGAGUGCACGCACAUGUCGUGGGAUAGGACGGACAUAAAAAGCCGGGCUUGUUCUGAAACCAGCAUCAGUCGACAAGUUGCUUUCAUACAGUGAAUACAGUAGUCGUUUCGAUAUCCUAUAUAACUAAAGGAAAUUCCUUUUUUUAAACUACUCAGAAUUUGUAAUGGCCAUCUACGAAAAAACUGCGAUAGUUUUGUUGUUGACAGUGUCGAUGAUCGUGGCCAACCAGCCAGAGUUCAUUCAGACCCCUCAACCUUAUCGAUCACUUGAUCGUCAAGACAAGUUCAAUGGUAACUACAAUGAAGCUAUGGACAAUUUCAGUUCCGGCAAUGCCAAGCGGCUCCGCGGAUCGGCUCCGUCCGACCCGGAGGGUCCAACUAGCGAGACUCACUCCAGUUAUCGUAGCCAGAGUAGCCAAGCUCGUCAGUAUCCAUCACCGUCUAGCCGACAAUACGAAGUUCCCGCAGUAGAUUACGAUAUCAAUCGCAAUGGUGAUCCGGCCUAUUAUAACGAACCGAGUACUUUUGUUCAAACUCCCGCUAGUAAGUAAAGAAUUAUAUUUUUUUAAUGCAACCAGUCCGAAAUGGAAUAACUAACGUCGAGGGCAAAUAGAUCGCAAGACUUUUGCAGCCGGCAAAUCCAGUAAUUUAGCUUUGGUGGUAUCUCCGUUGGCCGGCAUUGCUUUCGUUGCUGCUGCGGCUGCAGUUGCCAUCAGUCCGGUCUACUUGACAUUAUCCUCGUCACUCUUGUCUGGUCGCAAGAAACGCGAUCUUGCUUCCAUGAUGGAUGCAACUAUGGCUGACAAGAUCACUCCCGAAAUGAUGCAAAAAAUUCAAGAGCUCCAGACGCUGGAGAAAUUUUUGGCUUCGAUUCCGAAAGAGACUGAUUACCAACAGCAAAUUAUGUCAAUGUAUCUCUCUUGCUCCGGCUACACGCGUGAAGGCAACGUUUGCCUUGAUCGUAUUUUCUGCGAGUAUGGCAACGCCCAUUCAAACAUAUCGGAUGAAGAACGCGACGUCUUAUCCAUCGUGCUAUACAACAUUAUGUCCAACUCGUUUAUCCCGAUCGAGUACAAGCAACGACUGAGAUCGGCCGCACGCAUUGGUCGUGAUUUCCAGCAGUGCAACAGAUACGACUGUCCCGCUCUGAGCGAUGCUACUUCUAGUUACGCUACCAUGAUUUCUUCUCAACCGAUCGUCUUGAUGAUUGUAGUGGCCCUAGUGGCCGUGAACGCCGAGAGCUUCUUUUCACGACGCCGAAACGCCCAGCAACCGUUCCAGCGUUUCAAUACAAACUCGAAUUUCCGACAGCGACUCGGCACUCAAGGUGCCAACAACUACCCUUUGGCAAGCCCUCUGCAGCAACCUCAAAGCACCGGUAACAGCCGUGACCUGGCUACGACAAACUACGCGGGAGCUGCAGCUUACGAUGGCCACACAAGCAAUUAUGGAACUGGUUACGAUAACCGUGAAGGCAGUAUCAAUCCGCUAUCGGCCCUUGUGGCACCUCUGGCUGCCUUGGCGCUGUUGGGUGCCGCUGGAGCCGUUGCUAGCAAUCCAGUGCUGAUGACCCUAGCCGUUUUGUCAAGUGGCCGUAAGCGUCGAGCUGUCAGUUUGGAGAAAAUAGGAAGAGAUGACCUCACUGCUGAACUACAAUCCAAAUUGCAUGAAAUGGAGACUUUGGAAAAGUACAUUGUCCAGGUACCUGAACAGGAGAAACAACAAAAGAAACUCAUGGCUACCUAUCUUUCUUGCUCUGGUUUCACUGAAUCCAGCAAUUCGUGUUUGGAUCGAGUCGUUUGUGACUAUUCGAUUCGGCCCGGCAAAAUGACCGAUCUCGAGAAGGACGUCAUUUCUAUUAUUUUGUACAACAUCAUGUCCAACGGCUACGUUUCUCAAGAAUACAAAGAGCGUCUACGAACAGCCGCCCAGUACGGUCGCUCUCGCGGACAGUGUAGUGCCUUCAUAUGCGAUCAACUCAAUUAGAAAAAAUAAUUAGUAGCUUAUUAUCCCGUUACUAUUUAAUAACGAAAAAAGAAAAUUUUUAUAGCAAAUUUUUUAUGCACAAUUCAACCUAUUUAGAUUGCAGUGAUGUACAUGCGUGUAUUUGUGACUCGCAUUAGUUACCUCACUGAAAUGCAAUACUCCAAGUGUACAUAUACUUUGAACUCGGUAGAACACACAAACGAAACCAGUUUUUCGUUUAGAUUUAGAAACCUUCUUGCUAAUUCCAUUGUUACUGCAAAAGUUCCACGCUUUGUUAUUGGACAACAUUAAUACACGUAUCUAGUUGCAUCCGAA